rnacentral:rRNA from 1 species
ACGGAAGGCAGCAGUGGGGAAUAUUGCACAAUGGGCGGAAGCCUGAUGCAGCGAUGCCGCGUGGAGGAAGAAGGUUUUCGGAUUGUAAACUCCUUUUAUCAGGGACGAUAAUGACGGUACCUGAAGAAAAAGCUCCGGCUAACUACGUGCCAGCAGCCGCGGUAAUACGUAGGGAGCGAGCGUUGUCCGGAAUUACUGGGUGUAAAGGGUGCGUAGGCGGGGAUGCAAGUCAGAUGUGAAAUGUAUGGGCUCAACCCAUGAACUGCAUUUGAAACUGCUGUUCUUGAGUGAAGUAGAGGUAAGCGGAAUUCCUGGUGUAGCGGUGAAAUGCGUAGAUAUCAGGAGGAACACCGGUGGCGAAGGCGGCUUACUGGGCUUUUACUGACGCUGAGGCUCGAAAGCGUGGGGAGCAAACAGGAUUAGAUACCCUGGUA